rnacentral:rRNA from 1 species
UAACGAAUCUUCCGCAAUGGGCGAAAGCCUGACGGAGCAAUGCCGCGUGCGGGAUGAAGCGGCUUCGCCGUGUAAACCGCUGUCAGGAAGUAGAAACACUGAUCGCUUCCAAAGGAAGGGGCGACUAACUCUGUGCCAGCAGUCGCGGUAAUACAGAGGCCUCGAGCGUUAAUCGGAAUCACUGGGCUUAAAGGGUGCGCAGGCGGAUCGGAUAGUGUUUUGUGAAAUCCCUCGGCUCAACCGGGGAACAGCAGGGCAUACUACCGAUCUUGAGACAGGUAGGGGUCGAUGGAACCAUGGGUGGAGCGGUGAAAUGCGUAGAUAUCCAUGGGAACGCCAAUGGCGAAGGCAGUCGACUGGGCCUGUUCUGACGCUCAGGCACGAAAGCGUGGGGAGCAAACA